CUGGCUCGAACACCAUUGGCAUCCCACGACGCUAGCUGUUCUUCCCCCUGGCCGGGCAGCGCCCAUCCCUACUCCUGCCGCUGGCCACUGGGCCCGCGUCCGCAGAGCUCCGCCUUGUCAGCCGCAGCAGGCCGUGCCCUCCUUUCCUUUCCUUUCCUUUCCCUUCUUCUCUCAGCAGCGCGCGCCCGACGCCAUGCGCGGAUGCGCCGAUCACCUAACCGCAUCGCGCACGCCAUCGUGCCUGCCUCCUCCUUUCUCCUCCACGCUCCACGGAAGAAGAAACGCCGAGGACGAGCAGCGCGCCUCCUUCACCCUAUAAAUAGACACCAAUUAAGCCACAGCGAAGCUAGCUCCCUUUCCAUCGUCGUCGAACACCACCAUUACCACCCGGGCUCUCCCUCUCUGCCGGCGACGCGUUCCCGGCCAUCUCCUCCUCCUCCUCCUCCCAUGGAUCUACUGCCCCUUCCGAGUCCGCGACACCGGUGAGUGUCCUCCGGACACCUCUGGAGUCUGGACGACGAGAAGCCGCCGGGAGCGAGCAGGUCGACCUCGUCUCCCCCGUCCCCGUCAAGCACGCCGCCGCUGCCGUGGAACUCUGGAAUCCGUCGAGCCGACGCCCGCCGUCACCGCUGUUCGACUACAUCAGUACAUCGGCCCUUCGCUUCCUUUUCACGCCCGCGAGCGCCGCGGCGACGCUGUGUCGACGUGAUUCGCCGAGGACAAUGGCGGCAAGAAGCAUGCACGGAAAAAGAGGGCCUGCUGGGAGACUAUCCAACCUACUCCUUUUGGCAGCAGCGGUCGUCUCCUUCGCCAAGGCUGUUCAGGGAGUGGACGUGUUGUGAGAUCACGCGGUCGCCACCCAGGAACAUGAGUAUUUCCUCGGUCGCUUCCACGACGAUCUUGCGAACAACGAGGCGCCUAU